GAUGAACGCUGGCGGCGUGCCUAAUACAUGCAAGUCGAGCGAACAGACGAGGAGCUUGCUCCUCUGACGUUAGCGGCGGACGGGUGAGUAACACGUGGAUAACCUACCUAUAAGACUGGGAUAACUUCGGGAAACCGGAGCUAAUACCGGAUAAUAUAUUGAACCGCAUGGUUCAAUAGUGAAAGACGGUUUUGCUGUCACUUAUAGAUGGAUCCGCGCCGCAUUAGCUAGUUGGUAAGGUAACGGCUUACCAAGGCAACGAUGCGUAGCCGACCUGAGAGGGUGUACGGCCACACUGGAACUGAGACACGGUCCCGACUCCUGCGGGAGGCACCAGUAUGGAAUCUUCCGCAAUGGGCGAAAGCUUGACGGAGCAACGCCGCGUGAGUGAUGAAGGUCUUCGGAUCGUAAAACUCUGUUAUUAGGGAAGAACAAAUGUGUAAGUAACUAUGCACGUCUUGACGGUACCUAAUCAGAAAGCCACGGCUAACUACGUG
rnacentral:rRNA from 1 species